GAUGAACGCUGGCGGCGUGCUUAACACAUGCAAGUCGAACGAUGAAAGCGGGAGCUUGCUCCUGCUGGAUUAGUGGCGAACGGGUGAGUAACACGUGAGUAACCUGCCCUUGACUCUGGGAUAAGCGUUGGAAACGACGUCUAAUACCGGAUACGACCUUCGGAGGCAUCUCCUGGGGUUGGAAAGAAUUUCGGUCAAGGAUGGACUCGCGGCCUAUCAGCUAGUUGGUGAGGUAAUGGCUCACCAAGGCGACGACGGGUAGCCGGCCUGAGAGGGUGACCGGCCACACUGGGACUGAGGCACGGCCCAGACUCCUACGGGAGGCAGCAGUGGGGAAUAUUGCACAAUGGGCGCAAGCCUGAUGCAGCAACGCCGCGUGAGGGACGACGGCCUUCGGGUUGUAAACCUCUUUUAGUAGGGAAGAAGCGAAAGUGACGGUACCUGCAGAAAAAGCACCGGCUAACUACGUGCCAGCAGCCGCCGUAAAAC
rnacentral:rRNA from 1 species